UUCGCCACAAAUCGAAUUUCUUUGUGAAAUUCGGCCAAGCAGCUGAAUCACAUUUUUCAUAAUUCUACUCAUCACUAACAGGGAUUCAUAAGUCA